UACUGCUAUUGCUGUUGCUGCAAUUGUUUCUGAUGUGUGGUAUUGUGUUAUUUGUUACCGCCUCCUUAUCAAUAUAAUUCGGUACAAACUGUCACAGUUGGAAAUAUUCUCGUUCUUUUUCUUGCGAGUCCUGUUCCAGAAUGUCGAGUACGGGAUUGUCGUCCCAACCGUCGUCGUCACUUGGCUGCUCGGGCUCGGGAACUUCCUGGAUGUCCUGGCCGGGUUACCAACCUUCGUCGUUCCACGCUUGUUCGGAUUCGGGAAUGUCUGGGAAGUUUUGUACAAUUGCUUCGUCGGCAAAGUGUGGGAGGCACAUCGUUAUCGUAUUUGUCGAGUCGAGGCACUUAUUUCGAUCGGACACCAACGAUCUUGCACUUCACACUGUUCUUGUGGUGACAGCACACCUUGUUUUUCCGUAAAUUCGCUCACAGAGGAUGCGAUUUCGCGUAAGAGCAAACUUCUCUGCUCUGGAGCCGCCAUUAGUUGCUGCAGGAACAAAGUCAAAUUACGGGGUCCGCCGUCGUUGAGUAGACUACGCGAAGAAUAGUCAACUCGAAGCUUUUGCGCUAGCUUCUUGUCGCGUGUUUCGGGGAACGGACUUUAAUAGACGCGGACUGCUCUGCGGAAAGAUGGCUUAGUCAGAACAACUUGAGUCAAGACAAUUAGCCUUUUCUUCAGGGUUAACCAACACAAGUAUCUUGC